GUCGAAGAAAAUGUGUUAAAAGUCGAGUAUGUUCGAACAGAACAGCAAAAGGCCGAUAUUUUCACAAAGGCUCUACCGCGAGAAAUAUUCUGUAUGCUACGAGAGAGUAUCGGUAUGAGUGAGUGUGGAACGCGCAUAAACGGUGGAAGUAUUGGAAUAGUUUAAUGUGCGUUCGCCCUGCUUGGCGCGUUGUUCGUCGCCGUCUUUACGCGAACAGAUUGUUAUCCAAUCAGAGCUCGAAACCGUUACGAGUGCCUAGGCGCGUUGCACGACGGAGCUACGUCAUGCUCGCUUGCACAAAAGUUUUCUCGUAAUAAAGGAAUCGCUAUUCAUUUUCAUUUUUAUUUCCUUCCUAUCUCCCAUCCUCACAGUUCUUGCGAGUAAAUUAUAACAAAAACCAUAUUCCAAAGAAAAAUAUUGAAGAGGACCUACAAUCUACAACGUCUUCACAUCAAAUUCUGACUGAAAAAUACGAGUUGAUUUCUACAAAAAGAGCGGCCGCGAAAGAAAAUCUUUUACUGCAAGCAACAAAAAUGUUACGAGCCUCACAAAAACAAUUUCCUCCUGCUCAAAUUGGUGAUAAUGUACGAAUACAAGUUCCUGAUGUCGACCGUGGUCGUACAGAUAACCGAAAUGUGUUAGCGGUUGUUGUUGGAAUAGAAGACUCCGACUUCUAUAAACUGGCAAAUAAAAAUGGUACCCUCAACCAGCUUUACACACGUUAUCAGUUCGUAAUUUGUAAAGAAAAGUUACUUUCCAUAGAUGAGAUUUCUUUUCAAGAAAUGUCGCUGAGAGAAGCAGCUGCAGCUAAUUCAAGAAGCAGGGGACAAGGCUAUAGACGCUGUCAUUGCAAAAGGAAGUGUUCCACAAAUAAAUGCAGUUGUAAAAGCAAGGAACUCUUGUGCAAUUCAAAGUGUCAUAAUAGUUUAAGUUGUUGCAAUAAAUAAGAUUUGAAUCACAUAAAAAGAGGGGCGAAAAAGUUACGUCACCCUUGUGGCGUUUUAUAGCGACUGAAUUACGGAGAAGAAAAUAUAGAUCUCCAACAUGUUCAACAUUCACCAUUAGUGCAUGGUGAAUGUCAACAUUUACCGGUGUGUACGAGAUCCUCCCAGGUCUCCGAGAGGCGAUUUUUGAGUCUUCACGGAUCUUUGGAUUGAUAUGGAUCUCGCGAUGACGCAUGCGUGUCUUUGGCCAUUCGUCAAUUUUUAUUUUUGACUAAUACUAUUAUUUUUCUGAUUUUUGUAACUAGGUAUUUCAUCAAACGAAACUACCCUUUAUAAUAGUUUAAAUUCAAUAACCUACACUUUACAAUAGUUUAGAUAAUACUUAAAAUAUUUUCUUGUAUUUCCAAAAGUAAAAGGAUUAUUUAGGUGUUCUGUUUCAAAUGGAAUAUUGUUUAUAACGCUCUUUUCCAUUAAAUUAAUUCAGAAUAAUUAAAUUAUUCUUUUUCAAGAACGAUAUUAAAAUACGCCGCUUGAAAUCAGUAAAGAGCCGUCUAUUCAAAAAACCGUCAAGGCAUAAUGAACAAUACAAAUAUUGACUAAUCAACAGGUCGACGACAUUGAAGUAUUCUCAGAACGUAUUAUUAUCGUCUCAAUUGCGUUCAACUUUCUAUAACGUAUCCAAUAAAUAGAAAUAGAAUUAGUAUAUUACAUCGUUACUAAUAGGAAAUGUUCUUCUACAUUCAAUUAUUGAAAAUUGAAUGUUUAUUCUACAUUGUUAUUGUACUCGUUAAUAUCUAUCUCAAUCUAGAGACGCGGUAGCGUCUCGACGCCAAGUACAUGAAAAAUUAUACGCCACCGUGUAUACUGGCGCUGGCGCUGGUGCUACCACGUAUCUUUUACUCGUAAAACUGCGAUUCCAACCUAACCCGAAACUUGUGUCAUUAAUAUCUCAUCACGCCUGCUGUAUUUUCUAAAUCCAAAGGCAUUUUUCCAAUGUAAAUCGCAUAUAAGCUUUCUAAUGAAACCAAAAUCAAUAAAAUCGGUCUAUGUACAACUGAGAUAUCGUAAUACCAUGUCAUGAAUCGGUCAGAAAUUGUAGAUUUUUCUUCUGAUUCUUAUUCUUUUCGUCAACACUUACAAGGAGAGUGCAAGACCUUCAACUCACCAAUUUCAUUGAAACUUUGUACACUUAUAGAUUUCGCUCCCCUGAUUACAAAUAUGUAACAUUAUAGAGGCAGACACUCAAUAGUUUUGGAGAUAUUUGUAAUUAAAGUUUUAUUAUUACCUUGAUCUACAAGUUUAGUUGCAGCAAUCGAUAGCACCGGUAGAAUACCAGACUCGUACGCCGCUGACCGGGGUUCGAAUCCUUCCUGGUAAAAGUUUUUUUUUUGUUCUAAUUAAUUUUUCUUUCGUUGGGCUCAUACUAUGUAUCCCCCACAGAAUCUUCGUGCGUUAUUUCUUUGCUUCGUCGAACUUCUCGUCUUACGUUUAUGGUGACUGUUUAUAUUAUUGUUAGAGCCGAUCAGGCGGCUUGUACGCAUCGAAAUGAAUUCUUUUCGAUUACUUUAUAAUAUAUUAUCUAUUUUUUCAUUUAAUUUUGUUUUUCUGGCGCGUUGGGCGGAGGAUUAAUAUUUUUAUUAUAUUGUUUACCAUUUUUAAUGUUCGUGUAUGAAAAUGAAUCAAUUAGAACGAAAACAAAAAAACUUUUACCAGGAAGGAUACGAAAACCCGGUCAGCGGCGUACGAGUCUGGUACUCUACCGUUGCGCCACCGUUACAGUUGACAAUUGCUGCAACUAAACUCGUACAUCAAGGUAAUAAUAAAACUUUAAUUACAAAUAUCUCAAAAACUAUUGAAUGUCUGCCCCUAUAAUGGUAUAUACUCGUAAUCAGGGGAACGAAAUCUAUAAAUGUACAAAGUUUCAAUAAAAUUGGUGAGUUGAAGGUCUUGCACUCUCUUUGUUAGCCAAUAGGAGCUAAGUCCAUUCGUCGAUUCGUCGACUCUCGGAAUCAGUCGGCAAGGCUCGUCGUCGGAAUUGUAAUAUGGCUGUCACUCAUGCCGCUCGUUCAUUUCUAACCUGUAACUGUCAGUUUGGAUUUGUGACAUUUGGUUUCUUGCAACAAGACUUUCUGACAUGCAUUGUGCGUACUUUUGAAAACUUAAAGGACUGAAACUGGAAUUAUAAUACAAUAAAUUGUGCGUUACCAAUAGUGGAUCUCUUUGUACAUUUUCCCACUUUAUUAUUAACAUUUAAAUUUGUUACAACAAGAUUUUCUGCCACGCGUUGUGUAUACUUAUGAAUUUUAUUCCAAUACAAUACAUUGUGCGGUACACAUAGUGGAUCUCUUUCUUUAUUUCUCAUUUCAUGUUUAACAUUUCAAUUUCUAGCAACAAGACAUUUUGCGAUGCGUUGUGUGUACUUUGGAAACAUAAAAGACUGAAACUGGUAUUAUAAUAUAAUAAAUUGUGGGUUAGAAAUAGUGGACCUCUUUUCCCAUUUCAUACUUCAUUUUUACCAUUUAAGUUUGUACCAACAAGACUUUGUGCCAUGCGUUCUGUGUGCUUUUGAAAACUUAAGGGACUGAAUCUGGUAUUGUAAUAUAAUAAAUUGUGCGUUAUUCAUAUGACAUUAAUUUUAUUUGUAAAUAACACAUACAAACCGUAUUUUACUUGCAAAUUAAUGUAGAGCUUAAAGUAAAAAUACAUUUGUCUUUUAUUAUAGUAAGCGUAGAGUCUACAAUAUACAUAAUGUGUCUGAAGCCAGAUAUAGGAAAGAGACCAGCUUCAGUUCUUUAAGUUUCCAAAAGUAUACAGAACGCAUGGCAGGAUGUUUCACUGCAAGAAAUUUAAAUGUUAAAGAUGAAGCGAGAAAUGAAAAAAAGAAAUCAAGUAUUUGUAACGCAUAAUUUAUUGUAUUAGAAUAAAGUUCAGAAGUACGCAGAACGCGUGACAGAAAAUCUUGUUGCAAGAAAUUCGAAUGUGAAAGAUAAAGCGAGAAAUGAAAGAGAAAUCCACUAUUUGUAACGCACAAUUAAUCGUAUUGCAAUAUCAGUUUCAGUUGUUAGAAUUUUCAAAAGUACACACAAUGCAUGGCAGAAAGUUUUGUUGCAAGAAAUUUAAAUAAUGAGAAAAUGAACAGAGAUCCAUUAUUUGUAACACAUAAUUUAUUGUAUUACAAUAAUAUAGAAAAAGAGAGGUCAGACUUAAGUCCUUUAAUUUCUCAAAAGUACCCACGACACAUGACAGAAAGUCUUGUUGCACUUAAAUGUUACUGAUAAAGUGAUUACAUUUUUUCUUUAAUAAAUUUCUUGCAAUGAGACUUCCUGCAAUGCGUUCCGCUUACUUUUCAAACCUUAAAGGAUUCAAGCUGAUCUCCCAUUUUCUAUUAUUUGAAGUCAUUCACUAUAGAAAUUAUCUAUGUAAAAAGAAGUGAGAUCCCCAUAAAAAACUUAAAAGAAGUAAAAAAAUUACGCCAAGUACAUGAAAAAGUGGAGGACUUAAAGAGUAAUCAUAGAAAAAUAGAAGAUCCCCCUAAAAAAAUUCAAGAAAGUAGAAAAAGAAGUGAAAUCGAAAUGAGCAGCCAGUACAUGAAGGUCCUUUCCAAUAAACUGCAAGGUGACACUGUGUAACAUAAUAUCAGAUUCGGUGCUUUCCAACUAUGCGCAGCUAAAAUGCUGUGUUCAACAGUGCAGACGUUCAGACCCUAAUGACAACUCAUGUAAACUGACUGCUCCGCACUUUUGGCGGUGAAAUGAAGAAGCUAAAUAGUGUAUCAACCACAAACUGAGACUGUUUAAAAAUUUGCCUAGAUGUCCGUGGUCUGGAAGUCAAAUGCUUGGCGUGGCCUGGCAAGGUCAAAGUUUUGAUGGUCAAGUCAUUAGGGUUUGAACGUUCGCGCUGUUGAACACAACAUUUUAGCUGCGCAUAGUUGGAAAUCACCGAAUUUUACAUUGUGUUACACAGUGUCGCUAUUGCAGUUUGCGGGAAAGCAUUUUCAUGUACUGGCAGCUCAUUUCGAUUUCACUUCUUUUUCUACUUUCUUGAAUUUUUUUAGGUUACAAUUUACUUUAGAUGAAGUCAAUUAUUAUAACAGAUACAUCAUGUAUUGCAAAUUCUAAGCAGUACAAAAAAAUAUGUAAAGUGUAAAUUAAAUAACUGAUUAACUGUCGAUCAUAGUUUACAAUGAAAAUGUUUAAAAUAAAACGUUUUACUUCUCACGUUGUGUAUAUAUACAUAUUAUACAUAUAGCAUACGUUUGAAAAUACUUGCCAAAAUCCAAAUUUUAAUUUUGCUUGAUAAAUGAUUCAUAUUCAAUUAAUCGUCGCGAAUUAGGCAAUAAUUAAAUCGUGCAAACCAUAUAAACGCCAGUAUUUAAACAAAACCUACAUUUUACAAAUUAUUCAGCUAUCGAUAUUCAUAUAAAGAGUAAAAUAAAAAUUCUGAAUUGCUACUUUGCUGUUUCGAUAAUAUAUUUUGUGACGACUUUUUGAAUGCAUAUCUGCAUCUUUAAUAUUUCCGUGAAAUAGCUUACAGCAUUACUUUAAAGUCUUUUAGAUGAAAGAAGCUGGAACUCCACUUACAUAACUACGAAUUUGCCACAAAUGAAUAACGAGGAGCGUUCAUCUGGUGUUUAUAAUCUAUAAAGUAGACAUUUACAUGUAUUUAUUUCUAGAAGGAAAGAAAUAAAGAUCAGAAACCCGCUUCUCUCGCAGGAGUCUGUAAUUAUGUCGAUGAUUGCAUUAAUAGAAUCGCAAUGAUAAUUAUACAAAUACUUGAUGUUGAAGAGCUGAUCGUUAUCCGUUCCUUUCAAAAGAAACUAAAAUGUGUAGAAUUGUUAAAUGUUCAUUUUGAUUUCUAUGUUACAAUACUUGAAUUAAUAAACCUUCAAAUGGAGAAAUAAAUAUUGCAAAUAUAUGGACAAUUAUUUUAAUGUCGAAACUGUUUAAAUAAAACAAAACAUAACACAGUUUAUACAAAAAAUAUAUGUGAUACACGAGAGAAGAUUAAUCUUCCUUUUUGAAGUAAUUUAAAUUAACUAAUUGUAACAUGUACUUAUAGUGAUAUGAAAAUAUACGUGAUUAAUUUGCCCUAUUGAAAAGAAAAUGAACAAGGCUAAAUCACGUCUUUCUUUAUUCACAGGAGUGCAUUAAUUAAUACUUGCAUUCCCAUCGUAAUUAGGUACCAGAUAAGAAACACGAAUGCAAUACUCGUUAUAGAUGUUUGCAAGCACGAACAAAAAUUUUAAGUAUUCAUCGAAAUUUCAAAAUAGUAUGUUGACUAUUAGAAACUCAACUAUGAACGGAAUAGUACUCCUAUACAAUUAUUUAUAUGAAGCGAUUAUUUAGGAAGAUAAAUUUAACACAGGUUGCAAAUAUGUUUAAUUGACAAUGUACUAUCUAGUUGUACACGUAUUUUAACUGAUGUUUAUUUCGUAAUUAAAAUCUUGAUGUAUUCAAAAUUAUAAAAUUAAAUAAAAAUGAAUAUUAUAUUACUACAUUAUAAAGAAAAUUAGCAUUUGCCCCUUAAAAUAAUUAAAAAUAAUAUUUAUAACAUUUCCUAGUA